AAAAUACUUACCAACAAAAAUCAAAUCCAACUCAACUUCUCAAGCUUUCAACACAUUAGACACACAACCACAAGUUUUGUGGAAGAGCUUCUUGGAGAAGAAAAGGAUCGCUCAAGGGAUUGGAACACUAAAAGUAAAGGAUAAGAUUUGAGAAGAGAGAUAAUCAGAAAAGAAAAAAAAGGAAAAUGGACUGCAGUGGAAUAGUUAUUCCGUGUGUCGCGCUCCAACUGCUUACUGUGCGCCCUCGCCUGCUAUUGCGCCACGUAGCUGUCUCUUUGGUCCAGCGUCUCGACUCGUGACGGUGUACUGUGAAACGAUGCACCUGACUGCACCAGAUCAUAUGUUUUGUUGAGAGCUGAGAGUGUCAAUGUUCAUUCCUAACAUGCUUUCACAUGCUUGAUUCUGUUUUGAAAUACAUAUCGGUCAACGCUUUGUGAUGCUUAUUCCUUGAAGAGACUAAUAAGAAUCUUUGUUGGCUUACAUAGUUUGGAUUAUCAAUGCUCCAUUAGUUGCCCAAGUUGAGCCUAAAUGAAUAUUUUCUUGGUCAUAAGUUUUGAUAAAUCUGAAUUUGAUGAGUGAUCUAUGUUUGGAUUGAGCAGAAAAGAAAAAGAAAAGGAAUGGAACUUUCUUCUUAGUGUGUGCUGGAAAUUGUCAACCAAAAAGACAUGUGUCUUUGACAAAAGAAAGAAAAAAUAAAUGUGCUGAAAACAAGAAAAAAAAAUACAAAAAAAAAGAAACAAGAAGUCCUUGUGAUUUGUAAGGUUUGCUCAGGUCUUAAAGUUUGACAAAGAUCACUCACUUGUCUGUAAUAAGCCUUUUGUGUUUCCCCUUUGUUCUAUAUCCUACCUUGCAUUGCACCUUAGCGAAAGUUACAACCUGGUGAAGACUUUAUCAUGUUCUUGUCAUUGCUUAAGUUAACCUUGAUUUGAUGAUUACCAUAAUUGAUGCAUUGUGUUUGAAUGUUAGAGCACCAAAGUGGUGAGGUGAGUGCUUACAUGGUAAGGAAUUGUGGUGGACUCUUGUAUUCUAAUUCUUGCUGAUUUUUACUCUCCUUUCAUCUUUAGCAUGUUUACAACUGACCUUUCUCUGUUUUGAGAUGUGUUUGUGUUAAAAAGGUUAAGCAGAUGAAGGGAUGAUUUGUUCUGUACUUGAGGACAAACAACCUUGCGUUUACGCUUGAGAAAAGUUGUCGUUGAGUAUAGUGGUGUGAUGACCCGAGGUUUAUUCUAUGUUUGUCGAGUCCUUCUUGCUUCCUUCUUUUCCUUUUUGAGUCCUUUAUUGAGUUUUAAGUCAAGUUGAGUCCAUUUUUAAUUCAUAAUUGCAUCUGCAUUAGUUUAGUUGUCUUUAGUCUAUUUAUUUGGUCUUUUUAUUAGUUUUAGUUAGAGAAUAAAUUUUAUGAUCAGUUUUAAGCUGAAGUCUUUUGAAUUCAUGAGUGUUGAUUGCAUAUUGGGAGUUUUGUUUGCUGAAUUGAAUGAAGGGAUAAUGAAUUAUCAUCUUUAAUGAGAUGUUCCCUUGAGUUACAUUGUUGUUUUGAUGAAUUCUUGAUGUUCUUUUCAGGUUUGAAUAGGUUUUUUAUGGCAAUUUAUGAUGGUUGAAGGCCAAGUAAUAACCAAGAUGAUAGAUGAAGAGGGAGUUACAAAAUUGGAGAAGAAUAUGAUGAGUCAUGCAUGUGCGCCGGCUAUGCCACGCACAUGCGUGGUGGGCUGACCUGGGCGCUUCAUUUUAACAGAUAAAUCACGCAUGUGCGUGGACGAGGCCACGCACAUGCGUGGUGCGCCGCUAGAAACUCUAUCAAUAGGGUUUUUGUUAUUUCUUUUAGGUAUCUUGUACUUUUCUGAACAAAACUUAGAGUUUUAGUUUCUUGGAGCUUGUGGGAGUCUUCUUGGCACUCUUAUUUCAGGAUUUUGUUCUUUUGAUUUGCAUUAUGAAUUCUCUAGCCAUGCUUGGCUAGUUUCUCUUUGUACUUUGGGUGAAGUGAACCUUAGUUCUGAUUAUGGUUUGAACUUUUGCGUUUCUUAUAUGAAUAAAGUUUCAUUUCCAUGUA